UCUACUUUGUCUCUUCAACCAACUCACACGUUUUCGUUACGUACCCCCCAGCUUCCAUUUUCCUCUUUUCUUCUCCCUAGAGUCUGUGUCCUGAGCUGCAAAGAUGGCUGAGUCGGUAGAGCUCCCGAGUCGCCUCGGCAUCCUUCCCUUCCGUAACAAGGUUCUCUUGCCUGGUGCCAUCAUUCGGAUUCGAUGCACUUCACCCAGCAGUGUGAAAUUAGUGGAGCAAGAGCUGUGGCAGCGGGAAGAGAAGGGGUUGAUUGGUAUUCUUCCAGUUCGUGAUGCUGCCGAGACAACAACAGCAAUAGGCCCCGUGCUAUCUCAAGAUGUCGGAAGUGAUUCUAGUGAGAGAAGCUCGAGAGUUCACGUUGGCGCAUCUGAUUCUCACAGGCUUGAUGUCAAGAAUCAGCAGGAAAAUAUGCAUUGGCAUACCAGGGGAGUCGCAGCUCGUGCUUUACAUUUGUCAAGAGGAGUGGAGAAGCCAAGCGGUAGAGUUACAUACAUAGUCGUUCUUGAAGGUUUGUGCAGAUUCAGUGUCCAGGAACUUAGCACCAGAGGAACGUAUUACACUGCACGGAUAUCUCCUCUUGAAAUGACAAAGGCUGAGAUGGAGCAAGUGGGGCAAGAUCCAGAUUUCAUGACAUUGUCUCGUCAAUUUAAAGCAGCUGCCACAGAGUUGAUUUCUGUUCUUGAGCAGAAACAAAAAACAGAAGGAAGGACAAAAGUUCUUUUGGAGACAGUUCCUGUUCACAAAUUGGCUGAUAUCUUUGUUGCCAGCUUUGAGAUAAGUUUUGAAGAGCAACUAUCCAUGUUGGAUUCAGUUGAUCUGAAAGUAAGGCUUUCAAAAGCUACUGAAUUAGUUGAUAGGCAUUUACAGUCAAUACGUGUGGCAGAGAAGAUUACACAGAAGGUCGAGGGACAGUUAUCGAAAUCACAGAAAGAAUUCCUUUUGCGUCAGCAGAUGAGAGCUAUAAAAGAGGAGCUUGGUGAUAAUGAUGAUGAUGAGGAUGAUGUGGCUGCCUUGGAGAGAAAGAUGCAAAGUGCAGGAAUGCCUUCAAAUAUCUGGAAGCAUGCACAGAGGGAGCUAAGGCGGCUUAAAAAGAUGCAACCUCAGCAACCUGGGUAUAAUAGUUCACGUGUUUACUUGGAGCUUCUAGCCGAUCUGCCCUGGCAAAAGGCCAGUGAAGAACAUGAGUUGGAUCUGAAAGCUGCAAAAGAACAUCUUGAUAGCGACCAUUAUGGUUUAGUCAAGGUCAAACAAAGGAUUAUUGAAUAUCUAGCUGUUCGCAAGCUUAAACCAGAUGCAAGAGGUCCAGUAUUGUGCUUUGUUGGCCCACCAGGUGUUGGGAAAACAUCUUUGGCUUUAUCUAUUGCUGCUGCUUUGGGCAGAAAGUUUAUACGCAUAUCCCUUGGUGGUGUUAAGGACGAGGCUGAUAUUAGAGGGCAUAGGAGAACAUACAUUGGUAGCAUGCCUGGGCGUCUGAUUGAUGGCUUAAAGAGAGUAGCAGUUUGUAAUCCGGUCAUGCUGCUGGAUGAGAUUGACAAAACAGGUUCUGAUGUGCGUGGGGAUCCGGCUUCAGCUCUACUGGAGGUUCUUGAUCCAGAACAGAACAAUGCAUUUAAUGAUCACUAUUUGAAUGUUCCAUUUGACCUUUCAAAGGUGGUUUUUGUGGCAACUGCAAAUAGGCUGCAGCCUAUACCUCCACCACUCUUAGACAGGAUGGAAGUCAUUGAGUUGCCUGGAUAUACACCUGAAGAAAAGCUUAAAAUAGCCAUGCGACAUUUAAUUCCCAGAGUUCUGGAGCAGCAUGGGUUGAGUUCUGAGUUACUUCAAAUUCCAGAGGCUAUGGUGAAACAUGUCAUUCAGCGGUACACCAGAGAGGCUGGUGUCAGGAAUCUCGAAAGGAGCUUGGCUGCCUUAGCUCGUGCAGCGGCAGUGAGAGUUGCAGAGCAGGAGCAAGCUGUCCCGCUAAGCAAAGAUGUGCACCGGCUUGCUUCGCCACUGCUGGAAAACCGACUUGCUGAUGGAGGUGAAGUGGAAAUGGAGGUCAUUCCAAUGGCUGUAAAUAAUCAUGAGAUAUCAAGUGCAUUUAGGAUUGCUUCACCCUUGGUUGUGGAUGAGGCUAUGCUGGAAAAAGUACUGGGGCCUCCAAGGUUUGAUGAUAGAGAAGCAGCAGAGAGGGUUGCAACUCCUGGGGUAUCUGUUGGGCUUGUUUGGACUGCGUUUGGUGGAGAGGUCCAGUUUGUAGAGGCUACAGCUACGGUGGGAAAGGGAGAAUUACAUCUCACUGGGCAACUCGGUGAUGUUAUCAAAGAAUCAGCACAAAUAGCACUAACAUGGGUAAGAGCUAGGGCGACCGAUCUUAAAUUAGCAGCUUCUGAAGGAAUCAGUCUCUUGGAGGGCCGGGAUGUUCAUAUACAUUUUCCUGCUGGGGCUGUCCCUAAAGAUGGACCUUCAGCAGGUGUGACUUUGGUAACAGCACUGGUUUCACUAUUCAGUCAGAAAAGAAUGAGAGCAGAUACGGCAAUGACUGGAGAGAUGACUUUAAGGGGUCUUGUCCUACCUGUUGGAGGUGUCAAGGAUAAGAUUUUGGCAGCACACCGUUGUGGUGUCAAGAGAGUUAUCCUGCCAGAGAGAAAUUUGAAAGACUUGGUUGAAGUACCAACUGAAGUUCUUGCCAAUAUGGAGAUACUACUUGCUAAGCAAAUGGAAGAUGUGUUGGAGCAGGCUUUUGAAGGUGGGUGCCCUUGGAGACAACACUCAAAGUUAUGACAGGACCCUCAAGGCAUGUUAAGGAAACAAAAUCGCUGGUGAUGAAAUUUCUGUGCUGUGGCCACUUCUUUCGGCCCACAAGAUUCCCUCCCGUUCAGCAUGCAGCUGCCUUUGGUAAUUGGGGACCGGAAAAUUAACUCGACUACAUCAGACUCUAGCAGAAGGGAAUUCUAACUUGAUGUGGAGAGACUCAAUGAUCGGUGUUUCUUUCGGGGCUUUGGAUGGAAUUCUUCCAAUGUACUACUAUCUCCUCUCAAAUAGUUAAUCUCUGAUUAUUGUGGCUUUCGCUGCAGGCUGGGUGGUAGACAAAUAUAAUUUGCAUCCAAGUAUACUAUACUUUUUUUCGUAAAAAAAUGGGCCAUGGGCAGAAAUGGGAAGCCAAGCUAUGAGGAACAUUGAAAUUAAAGCUGUUUAUGGAGGCAGCAGGCCCUGUAUGAGGGGUUCUUAAAGGAGCAUCAGGACCUAAGAUGGCUGCUCAGUUUCAGAGGGAUUGAGGAGCCUCAAAUGCAGUGAACGCUAGUAGACAUAUACUGUUAUCUGGUCACAGAAAUGUGUCUAAAAUUUGGUUAGUUUGAUUUUAUGAAACAUCAUUGAAAUGGAUUGGAACUAAGCUAUUCUAAAAAAUAGAGUUGACUUGGUUCUGUUAGAUAGGUUUUAUGAUUUCGAAUAGCCGCCAUGGUGAAAUUGGUAGACAGGCUGCUCUUAGAAAGCACUGCUAGAGCAUCUCUGUUCGAGUCCUAGUGGCGGCAUGGCAUCUUAUAAAAGAGUAGAGUCCUAAUAUGAAUUUGAAUACCAACUUCCAUUUCUAUAAUUGGGAGAUUAUUCUCUUUAUAUAUCUGGCCUAUACUUAAAAGCGCCUAUAACAUCUACAGUAAUG